CAGGGCUUAGAGAGUACGUCCCAGGAGCUGGACAAGAGCCAAACCUUUCUUUGGACAGGGUGGAUCCCCUACUGCAAAAGUAUACAUUAAAAAAUCCCAUGGCCAUCCCUGUCUUCAUCUAUCCCAGUGUCCUCUGCCUGCUGAUCAGAAGGCUUACAAACAUGAUGAAUGUGCAGAAAGAGACAAGAAACAGUGAACAUUAACUCAUGUGUGUGAGACAAAAGGCAGCAGUGUCCUACAAGGACAUGACUACAGAGUUUACCCAGGAGAACUAGAAGCAGCUGGACCCUGCUCAGAGGACCAGUAUAGAAAUGUGAUGUUGGAGAACUACAGCCACUGUCCCAGUGGCAAGCACACCUUACCAUGUGACUUCCUCAAGAAUGUAUCUAUUUAUUUUUUUAAUAUUAAUCGCAUUUGUAGAAGUAUAUUUAACAGCAAUUUUUAUUGUCCAGUUCACUGAAUUUUGAGAAAUAAAUGCAGUUGAUUUCUACCACCAAAAUCAUAGUGUCCUUGUAACCCUUGCUGUCAUUCCCAUCCUUCUUCUAUUCCCGCCCCUCAGGGCCUUAGCAGCCACUAGAAAUCACUCUUCUGCUUUCUAUCAUAAUUGUUUGGACUUUUUUACAAUUAUAUAUAAUGGAAUGAUACAGUGUAUACUCUCCUUUGGUUUAUUUCACUUGGCAUAAUGCUUUUAUAAGGCAUGUUGAUUGUAUAUCAGUAGUUUAUUCUUUUUAUUCCUGAGUCAUAUUCAUUUGUGUACAUAUACCACAAUCUGUU